GACGAACGCUGGCGGCAUGCCUAACACAUGCAAGUCGAACGGGAAGCCACCUUCGGGUGGUGGAGAGUGGCGGACGGGUGAGUAACGCGUAGGAAUCUGCCUGGCAGCGGGGGACAACCUGGAGAAAUUCAGGCUAAUACCGCAUACGCCCUACGGGGGAAAGAUGGGGAUCUUCGGACCUGUCACUGUCAGAUGAGCCUGCGUUAGAUUAGCUUGUUGGUGGGGUAAUGGCCUACCAAGGCGACGAUCUAUAGCUGGUCUGAGAGGAUGAUCAGCCACACUGGGGCUGAGACACGGCCCAGACUCCUACGGGAGGCAGCAGUGGGGAAUAUUGGACAAUGGGCGCAAGCCUGAUCCAGCAAUGCCGCGUGUGUGAAGAAGGCCUUAGGGUUGUAAAGCUCUUUCAGUGGGGACGAUAAUGACGGUACCCGCAGAAGAAGCCCCGGCUAACUUCGUG
rnacentral:rRNA from 1 species